rnacentral:rRNA from 1 species
CAAUAGCGUAUAUUAAAGUUGUUGCAGUUAAAAAGCUCGUAGUUGAAGAUACGAACGCUUACACUAGAACAAAGUUUCCGGUGUCUGCGUUCACUUUUCGCAAAGACAGCCUGGCCCAUUAGUUUGGGUCUUGUUUGAGUUGCGUCAUUUACUGUGAACAAAUUAGGGCGUUUAAAGCAGGCCUACGUUUGAAUACACUAGCAUGGAAUAAUAAGAUAUGAUCUUGGUCGUAUUUUGUUGGUGACUACCAAGAUAAUGAUUGAUAGAAACUGUUGUGGGUAUUCGUAUGAGCAUGUCAGAGGUGAAAUUCUUGGAUUUUGAUCAGACGAACUACUGCGAAAGUAUUUACCAAGGAUGUUUUCAUUAA